CAGCCGUAAACUAUGCGCGUUAGGUGUAUUGGUGACCACGAGUUACCGAGGUGCCGAAGGGAAACCGUGAAACGUGCCGCCUGGGAAGUACGGUCGCAAGGCUGAAACUUAAAGGAAUUGGCGGGGGAGCACCACAACGGGUGGAGCCUUUGCGGUUUAAUUGGACUCAACGCCGGACAACUCACCGGGGACGACAGCAAUAUGUAGGCCAGGCUGAAGACCUUGCCUGAAUCGCUGAGAGGAGGUGCAUGGCGUAGACGUCU
rnacentral:rRNA from 1 species